CACGUAGGGCGCAAGCGUUGUCCGGAAUUAUUGGGCGUAAAGAGCUCGUAGGCGGUUUGUUGCGUCCGCUGUGAAAACUCGGGCUAGCCCUGAACCGCCUGCAGUGGAUACGGGCAGACUAGAGGUAGGUAGGGGAGAAUGGAAUUCCCGGUGUAGCGGUGAAAUGCGCAGAUAUCGGGAGGAACACCGGUGGCGAAGGCGGUUCUCUGGGCCUUACCUGACGCUGAGGAGCGAAAGCGUGGGGAGCGAACAGG
rnacentral:rRNA from 1 species